AAACGUAGGAGGCGAGCGUUAUCCGGAUUUACUGGGUGUAAAGCGCGUGCAGGCGGUUCUGCAAGUGGGACGUGAAAGCGCCCGGCUCAACCGGGCGAGGACGUACCGAACUGCGGGACUAGAGGCAGGGAGAGGCGUGUGGAAUUCCGGGUGUAGUGGUGAAAUGCGUAGAGAUCCGGAGGAACACCAGUGGCGAAGGCGACACGCUGGGCCUGGCCUGACGCUCAGACGCGAAAGCAUGGGGAGCGAACGGGAUUAGAAACCCCGGUAGUCCAUGCCGUAAACGAUGCUGACUAGGUGUGGCGGGUAUGAACUCCUGCCGUGCCGGAGCCAACGUGGUAAGUCAGCCACCUGGGGACUACGGCCGCAAGGUUAAA
rnacentral:rRNA from 1 species